rnacentral:sRNA from 1 species
UGCACUGCCUCCCCUCACCCGCAAACUUC